AUGAACGCUGGCGGCGUGCUUAACACAUGCAAGUCGAACGAAGCACUUUAUUUGAUUUCCUUCGGGAUUGAUUAUUUUGUGACUGAGUGGCGGACGGGUGAGUAACGCGUGGGUAACCUGCCUUGUACAGGGGGAUAACAGUUGGAAACGGCUGCUAAUACCGCAUAAGCGCACAGCAUCGCAUGAUGCAGUGUGAAAAACUCCGGUGGUAUAAGAUGGACCCGCGUUGGAUUAGCUAGUUGGUGAGGUAACGGCCCACCAAGGCGACGAUCCAUAGCCGACCUGAGAGGGUGACCGGCCACAUUGGGACUGAGACACGGCCCAAACUCCUACGGGAGGCAGCAGUGGGGAAUAUUGCACAAUGGGCGAAAGCCUGAUGCAGCGACGCCGCGUGAGCGAAGAAGUAUUUCGGUAUGUAAAGCUCUAUCAGCAGGGAAGAUAAUGACGGUACCUGACUAAGAAGCACCGGCUAAAUACGUGCCAGCAGCCGCGGUAAUACGUAUGGUGCAAGCGUUAUCCGGAUUUACUGGGUGUAAAGGGAGCGCAGGCGGUGCGGCAAGUCUGAUGUGAAAGCCCGGGGCUCAACCCCGGUACUGCAUUGGAAACUGUCGUACUAGAGUGUCGGAGGGGUAAGCGGAAUUCCUAGUGUAGCGGUGAAAUGCGUAGAUAUUAGGAGGAACACCAGUGGCGAAGGCGGCUUACUGGACGAUAACUGACGCUGAGGCUCGAAAGCGUGGGGAGCAAACAGGAUUAGAUACCCUGGUAGUCCACGCCGUAAACGAUGAGUGCUAGGUGUUAGGCCCUUUCCGGGGCUUAGUGCCGGAGCUAACGCAAUAAGCACUCCGCCUGGGGAGUACGACCGCAAGGUUGAAACUCAAAGGAAUUGACGGGGGCCCGCACAAGCGGUGGAGCAUGUGGUUUAAUUCGAAGCAACGCGAAGAACCUUACCAAGUCUUGACAUCCUUCUGACCGGUACUUAACCGUACCUUCUCUUCGGAGCAGGAGUGACAGGUGGUGCAUGGUUGUCGUCAGCUCGUGUCGUGAGAUGUUGGGUUAAGUCCCGCAACGAGCGCAACCCUUAUCUUUAGUAGCCAGCGGUUUGGCCGGGCACUCUAGAGAGACUGCCAGGGAUAACCUGGAGGAAGGCGGGGAUGACGUCAAAUCAUCAUGCCCCUUAUGACUUGGGCUACACACGUGCUACAAUGGCGUAAACAAAGGGAAGCGAAGCUGUGAAGCCGAGCAAAUCUCAAAAAUAACGUCUCAGUUCGGACUGUAGUCUGCAACCCGACUACACGAAGCUGGAAUCGCUAGUAAUCGCAGAUCAGAAUGCUGCGGUGAAUACGUUCCCGGGUCUUGUACACACCGCCCGUCACACCAUGGGAGUUGGGAAUGCCCGAAGCCAGUGACCUAACCGAAAGGAAGGAGCUGUCGAAGGCAGGCUCGAUAACUGGGGUG
rnacentral:rRNA from 1 species